GCGGAAGUGGCGGAAUGGCAGACGCGCUUGGUUGAGGGCCAAGUGGCCGAAAGGUCAUGGAGGUUCAAGUCCUCUCUUCCGCACCA
rnacentral:tRNA from 1 species